GCCCCGCCCCGCCGCACGAUGUCGGUCCCGGAGCCCGCCGGCGGCGAGGAGGCGAAGCAGGCCAAGGAGGCGGAGGACGCCGAGAAGUUCUCCUUCAUGGCCACCGUCACCAAAGCGCCCAAGAAGGUACGGCGGGGGGGGGCGGCUGCGGGGCGUUGUGCUGCCCGCAUCGCUGCGGUGAGCCGGGAGUGCUGCCGGAGGGCGCCCUGAAGGGCGGCGGGGGGGAAUUCGGCGUGCGGGGCUCCGGGCCGCGGGGUGGGCGCUGUGUGCCCUCAGCGCCGCGCGGGGCUGCGGUCGGGACGCGUAGGUGGGCGCACAGCCCUGCGGGGCUCAAUGUGGCCCUCGAUGUGUCCCUACUGGGCUCAGUGUGUCCCUGUGGGGCUCAAUGUGGCCCUCAGUGUGUCCCUGCGGGGCUCAGUGUGUCCCUCAAUGCGUCCCUGCUGGCCUCAGUGUGGCCCUGCGGGGCUCAAUAUGGCCCUCAAUGUGUCCCUGCGGGGCUCCGUGUGUCCCUGCUGGGCUCAGUGUGGCCCUCAGUGUGUCCCUGCAGGGCUCUGUGAGUCCGUGCGGGGCUCAAUGUGGCCCUCAAUGUGUCCCUACUGGGCUCAGUGUGUCCCUGUGGGGCUCAAUGUGGCCCUACGGGGCUCAAUGUGGCCCUCAAUGUGUCCCUACUGGGCUCAGUGUGUCCCUGUGGGGCUCAAUGUGGCCCUCAAUGUGGCCCUACGGGGCUCAAUGUGGCCCUCAAUGUAUUCCUGCUGGGCUCAGUGUGUCCGUGCGGGGCUCAGUGUGGCCCUCAGUGUGUCCCUGCUGGGCUCAGUGUGGCCCUGCGGGGCUCAAUGUGUCCCUGAAUGUGUCCCUGCAGGGCUCGGUGUGUCCGUGGGGGGCUCGGCGCUGUGCUGCUGGGGGUCCCCGUGGGCUCAGAGGAGGGGCGGAGCGCUCCUGGGGUACCCCCGGGGACAGCUGUGCUGCUGGCGGUGCGGCUCCCCCUGCCCGGCUGCUGCGUGGAGGUUUGGAGGCUCUCUCGUGCCCGGCUCUGUUUAUCCAGGCUUUGGACGUGGCCUGGAGGAAGGAGCGGAGGAAUGCGGAGCUGAGAGCUUCCAGGGGGGGCUCAGGGGUUUGUUUUUCCAUCCUUAUUGCUGUUGUCUUCCACGAAGCUGGGAUGUUAAUGGGCUGAGCCGGGAGGAGAGCAAGCAGUGCAUCCCGAAGCAUCCCACGCAUAGAGCAAGAAAUGACCUCUGUGCACAGGGGGGAUCAGGGGCGGCGUCCUCGGAGGCGAGGUUUGGCUGUGCCUGGGGAGGUCUGGGGUGCUUUCUUAGCUCUGGGCGUGCUGCCGUGUGCUCGGGUUCAUUGCACAGCACCAAGAGCUGGCUGCUACGCCUGGGCGGUGAUGGUGGAGGUGCCCCGAGCGACAGGAGGCAUUUGAGGCCGAUAACAUCAGCAGGCAUUGAGAUCCCGGGGAGCGUUGGAUGCAGCUGAGGUCGAGGAACAAAAUGCUUCGGGCUGCUGUUCUCCUGGCCUGGCGACUUUGUGCAAACAGGGCUCGGUAAUGGCACGAGUGUUGGCAGAGGGAUGAAAGGACGAGGAUGGAGAAUUGCCCUCCUGCCAUCCUGAGUGCCCCCAGCUCGAGGCGCUUCAGCUGCCUUCCAAGCAGGGUUGCAAUUAAACCAUUAAAAUGCCUCUUGGUUUUAAUGCAAGCCAAAGCUGCUUACGGAAGUUCUGAGCGUGGCCAGCGCGGGAGGUGGAGCUGGAGGACGCUGUGCACCCUCCUUUUGCUCCCCUGGGCUAUGGGAUGGAGCGCUGGGCAGUAGGGAGGGUGGGAUGGUUCUGAGCUGUGUGUGUCCGGCCACCAAUGAGCUGCUCUGAGAGCAGCCGUGCCUCGUGCCACUGCACGGGGUGGGUGUGCACAGGGUGGGUGUCCCCAGCCUGGGGCUCUGCUUGAGCCCAGAGCAACGCCUCGGCUGCAUUGGAGGCGUGUGGGGCCCCCAGCGUUACUCUCCUUGGCAAUGCUGACCCACGUGCGGUUUUCCCCCCUCUUGUCGUUGAUUUGCUUAAGGUGAAAAAGUGAAACAGCGGGAGGUGACUCGGGCUGUCAGCAGAACUGCAGCAGCUGUGCCGGGAGCCGUUGGGCUGCUGGGCAGGGAGUGCUUUACAGGCAGAGAAUCUGUUUACUUCAGGUUGGGGACGGCCAAAGGACUUCAAUGGCUGGGGACACGGUGUUCCAGCUAGUCAAACAGGCUGUGCUGUCAUUCGCGUGAGGCUCCUGCUGGCUUUGGAGCAAAUCCAGUUUGCAGAUGAUAUGCAGGAGUUCACCAAGUUCCCAACCAAGACCGGCCGCCGCUCCCUGUCCCGCUCCAUCUCGCAGUCUUCCACCGACAGCUACAGCUCUGCUGCCUCCUACACAGACAGCUCUGACGAUGAGGUCUCCCCCCGUGAGAAGCAGCAAACCAACUCCAAAGGCAGCAGCAACUUCUGCGUGAAGAACAUCAAGCAGGCAGAGUUUGGACGCCGGGAGAUUGAGAUCGCUGAGCAAGACAUGUCCGCUCUGAUUUCACUCAGGAAGCGAGCUCAAGGGGAGAAACCUUUGGCUGGAGCUAAAAUCGUAGGCUGUACACACAUUACAGCACAGACUGCGGUGCUGAUUGAGACGCUGUGUGCGCUGGGAGCGCAGUGCCGCUGGUCUGCCUGCAACAUCUACUCCACCCAGAACGAGGUGGCAGCUGCCUUGGCAGAAGCAGGUGUUGCUGUAUUUGCCUGGAAGGGAGAGUCAGAGGAUGACUUCUGGUGGUGCAUUGACCGCUGUGUUAACGUAGAUGGCUGGCAGGCUAACAUGAUCCUGGAUGACGGUGGGGAUCUGACCCAUUGGGUUUAUAAGAAGUACCCCAACAUAUUCAAGAAGAUCCGAGGGAUUGUGGAGGAGAGUGUGACCGGUGUGCACAGGCUGUACCAGCUGUCCAAAGCUGGGAAGCUCUGUGUGCCAGCCAUGAAUGUGAAUGACUCUGUGACCAAACAGAAAUUUGACAACCUGUAUUGCUGCCGGGAGUCCAUCCUGGACGGCCUGAAGAGGACCACAGAUGUGAUGUUUGGAGGGAAGCAAGUGGUGGUUUGUGGCUAUGGGGAGGUCGGCAAGGGAUGCUGCGCUGCUCUGAAAGCCCUGGGGGCGAUCGUCUACGUCACGGAGAUCGACCCCAUCUGCGCUCUUCAAGCCUGCAUGGAUGGAUUUCGGGUGGUGAAGCUGAGCGAAGUGAUCCGUCAGGUCGACGUCGUCAUUACCUGCACAGGAAACAAGAACGUGGUGACCAGAGAACACCUGGAUCGGAUGAAGAACAGCUGCAUCGUGUGCAACAUGGGCCAUUCCAACACGGAGAUCGAUGUGACCAGCCUCAGGACCCCCGAGCUGACCUGGGAGCGGGUCCGUUCCCAAGUGGACCACGUCAUCUGGCCGGAUGGGAAGCGGGUGGUGCUGCUGGCCGAGGGCCGUCUUCUCAACCUGAGCUGCUCCACGGUUCCCACCUUUGUCCUCUCUAUCACAGCCACCACUCAGGCUCUGGCUCUGAUUGAGCUGUACAACGCUCCCGAGGGCCGUUACAAACAGGACGUGUAUCUGCUGCCCAAGAAGAUGGGCUCCAGGUUUUCAUCCCCCUUCUGGGGCACGGGGCUCCAUCGGGUGCAAAGUGCCAGCACAGCCUCUCAGGCCCUCCUCCUCCUGCUGUGCGAUGAGUCCCCUUCCCUCUCCUGUUCCCAGAUGAGUACGUUGCCAGCUUGCACCUGCCUUCCUUCGACGCCCACCUGACGGAGCUGACGGACGAUCAGGCGAAAUACCUGGGACUCAACAAAAACGGGCCUUUCAAACCCAACUACUACAGAUACUGAUGGACCACAGCUGUGAAGGACCAGACCACACAAGGCAACAUUAGGGAGAUUAUUUUUAAAGAUCGUUUCAUUUUGGUUCGCUAUUGUUUUAUUCUUUUCCUUUCCUUUAACCAACAAGGAGCCCCGUUUUUACAUUGACCAGCGUGAUUUUAAGGUCACUUCGGUUCUCCCUUCUCAUUCUCCCCCCCCUCUGUGGUCGCAUCUCUGUGAUCUCAGCGCACAGCCUGGGAUCCUCUCCCUGCUUCGAUGUGGCUGAGGCCGCUGGUGGCUCCCAGCCCGCUCCCCUCCCCUGCUGCGUGAAGGGCAAUUCGUCUUUUUCAUUUUUCUUAACCUUCCCCGGGAUAUCUGCAGGGUCCGGAGAUGCUCUUCUACCUUACCUUAACGUUUCCUUUCUUUGUGUGGAUUUCUCUGCAACUUCUAAAUUGCCUUAAAGAGCCCAGUUUUAGCUGCUAGUUCAAUGCUCCUCGCUCUGCUCGGGAGCAGAGUGGCACCUGCUGGCCACGUCGCGAAUAGGUGACUGUCCCACCUGCCCGGGGUCCCCUGUUGGUGGCCGGCCGGCCCGGGGGGGCUCACUGUUUCAGGGUGCUAAUCUGAAUUCGGAUGGGGGUCACUUAACCCAGCAUCAUCCUCAUCUCUCUUAGGUUCUUUGGUUAGGUUUUUCUUUGUUUGUUUGUUUGUUUGUUUGUUUGUUUGUUUUAGCCAAACUGCACCUUAAUUUGAGUUGAAAACAUCUGUCUGUUUGUUUCUUUGUUUUCCUCCUUUUUCCUUUUCGGAUCCUCGAAGAGACCUUUAAAGAGGGGCCGCGUGCCCGGCCGUGGAGUUCGGGCUCCAUCCAUCCGAGCAGCCCCAUCUCCCAGCAGGGCACGGCGGGCGCUGUUAAGAGUGUCUGCGUUGCUCUGAAGGGCAUUUCCCUUUCCUUCCUUGGCGGAUGCACAGACUGAGCCUUCCCCGUGCCCCAGUGGGCCCUCUGCACCCUGGGCUCCCCUCGCUGCCCCCCUCCCAAGCUGAGCUUCCUCAGCAGCACCCCGCAGCGUUCCAGCAGCCACUCUCAUCUCCUCCUUCUUCCCUUCCCCAUCCUCGCUGCUGACAAAUAUUUCUCUCCUCCAUCUCUCGCAGCUUGUCACGGCUUGGGGGAAAGCCCUUGCAGCCCAGCGAGGUUCCUCCUGGCUUUUUGCCCCUCUCCCAAUGCCUCUUUCUUCCCCCGCCAAAGGCCGGAGCAGGGAGGGAUUCGUUCCCCCACCGCAUCGCCUGUUACGGAGAUAACAGCCAUGCGGUACCCCCAGAGAGCCGCUCGGCUGCCUCCAACCACCCCAUCCCAGGGAUGGGAGGCGCUCUGUGGCUCCGGGGAUGGCUGCAAUGCUGCUUUGCCCUCGGUGGGGGCUGGAGGGCGACGUGAGGAUGGAUGGCGCGGCUUCGCUCACCCUCCUAUGCCCUCUGCUCCUUCUCCGCCCCUCCUGGGGAGCGCCUGCCUGCCACGUGUGGCCCCUCUGCCCCCCCCCAGCCCUGCAGUGGGCCGGGAGCCUUUCCCACCCGGGGGGGUCACAGCAGCUGAGCCGAGGGCUGCAGCUCCGUCUAAGCCAUGUCCGGGGGUGGUGGCGGCGUCGGGCUGGGAGGGGAGAGAGGUUUAUUUUGUAUAUGAAUGAUUUUUAAUGAAUGCAAUAUUAAUCCUUGCAGAUGAGCAAUAAAUCAUUAAAGUCUAAUGGAAACGA